ACUAAUUAUUUACUAGUAACGUUCAGAAUGACCCAGCACACACCCUAUGAACGAUAAAUAAAGAACUUUCGAUAGCAAGCGGCUAAACCAGUGGCUCUUGUUGUCAGGGUAACCAUUGGCAAUAGCAACAAACAUGGCGUCCCUGCUGCCCGAGUUACUGUUUGAGACCAGUGGUCAGGCCCCUACUCCUUCUAAAGAUUUCUUUCAGCUCGAUGUAACAAAAACACAGGUAAUAUGGAGGUGGUGGAAGAUUCCUCUGCAUGUUAAAUUGCAAAGCACGUUGCUCGGAGAAAUGAAACAGAGUCAUAAGUAGUUUCUAAAUGAUGAGAGACUACAGAGUAAGAUUCUGAAAAACAGACAGACAUCCAUUUUCUAUACGAUUUAUCCUGCUGGGUCACGGAAAACCAGGAGCAUCAGGCACAAGGAGGGAUACACCCUGGAGAGGGUGCCAAUCCAUCACAGGACACACUCACAUACAUAUUCUCUCACACACACACACACACACACACACACACACACACACACACACACACACACACACACACACACACAGUGCAUGUCUUUGGACUGGGGGAGGAAACCGGAGUACCCGGAGCACGGAGAACACGGAAACGCCACACACACAGGACCGCGGCAGGAAUCCAACCCCUAACAUGCUAACCACUAAGCCAGACAGACAUAUAGAUAGAUAAAUAGAUAGAUAGAUGGAUAGAUCUAUCAGAUACUUUAUUGAUGCUUUAAGGGAACUUACAGAUAUCUAGCAUUAUUAUAUACCAGAACAGUUGGUAUAUCAUAAAAAUACAUUUAAAAUAGGCUAAUUAAUCAAGUAUUAUGAGUUAUAAAAAAAAACCCCAGCAAUAACAAUGUAUACAUGCCCACUGUACAAAUAAUUAACUGUAAAACUACAGAAGUUUAGCUCCACCAUGACUCGCUGAGAGGAAAAGUGGUAUGGAAUAUGGAAAUACUUCGCAUGCGUGGUGAAUGACAACAAACAUAUAAUUGAUGCUCUGAAGCCGGUGUGCAACUGAUGCUAUCGUUCAUUUCAAACAAAGCGAGGAAACACCUGGAAUUUGGCGAAGCACCUGAAAGACGGUCCCAAUAUUAUGUUUGUUUGAGGCAGCUGCAUUGUGGCCGUGAAACCAGCUAAUGUUAUGCUCCAUGUAAUAGCGAUAGCCAGCUAUUUGUUAACGAUGCUAACGCAUUGCAAUGUUAUAAACUACCUCCUAAUGGACCAUCAUGCAUCGCCAUUCAGCCCAUGUCCUGUCAGCUAAAUGUAGCUACUGUCACUACUAAUUAUUCAAAUGUUAAUGGUUUUAAUAAAUCGUUUUGGCCUGCCA